CGGACGCAGCUUCCUCACCCAAUCCACUGGGCCGUUGGAACGAGCUAGAGAGAAGCGUCGUCUCGUCACGUCACGCCAUGAGAGCCGCUUGCUUCUCCUUGUUCUUCACCGCCGCCUCCCUCCCCCUCCCUUCGACCUCCACCGCUGCCUCGAGCCCACGCUGUCAGAGUCACGCCUCCUACCGCUGGUCCCAGCCACGCCACCGCCGCGGCGGGGUGGUCCGGGCCCUCGACGAGCGGCUGCUAGAGGCACUAACCCCCGCACCAGCGGAGACCGAGGUCGAGGAUGAGAGUGGUGUCGGUGAGAUAGAAGACGGCGGUGAACGAGAGGGAAGAGAUGGGGUGGCUAAUAUUGUGGGCCCGUCGGAGGCCCAUGAGCAGCCGAAGAGCAGGCGACGACAGCAGCAGGAGGAAGAGGAUGCCGCGGCGGAGCGCACCCGGUUCAAGCUCAUCAACGGCAAAGAGAUAUUUCAAGAGAAGACCUACCUAGUUGGAGUCGAGUGCAAGAAGGCCGCAAGUGAUAACUUCAGCAUAGAGGAAUCGCUCAAGGAGCUCGAGCAGUUAGCUGAUACUGCUGGGCUCAUGGUUCUCGGAUCGACCUAUCAAAAGCUUUCAAGUCCAAAUCCAAGGACUUAUAUUGGUUCAGGGAAGGUUGCUGAAAUUAGGAGUGCAGUUCAGGCCCUUGAUAUUGAGACUAUAAUUUUCGAUGAUGAGUUGUCUGCUGGACAGCUGCGUAACUUGGAGAAGUCCUUUGGUGGAGGUGUUCGAGUCUGUGACCGGACUGCUCUUAUUCUGGACAUUUUUAAUCAAAGGGCAGCGACGCAUGAAGCUGCUCUGCAGGUCACCUUGGCACAAAUGGAAUAUCAACUUCCUAGGUUGACAAAGCUGUGGACUCACCUUGAGCGGCAGUCAGGAGGCCAAGUCAAGGGUAUGGGUGAGAAACAAAUUGAAGUUGACAAGCGCAUCUUGAGAACACAAAUAAGCACUUUGAGGAAGGAAUUGGAGUCUGUCCGAAAACAUAGAAAGCUUUAUCGCAACCGUCGACGGUCGGUGCCUAUUCCUGUUGUUUCUCUGGUGGGAUAUACAAAUGCUGGAAAAAGUACACUCUUGAACCGCUUAACUGGAGCUGAUGUGCUCGCUGAGGAUAAAUUAUUUGCCACACUAGACCCAACAACACGGAGGGUGUUGAUGAAGAGCGGCACUGAGUUCCUCCUAACAGAUACUGUCGGGUUCAUUCAGAAGCUACCCACUAUGCUGGUGGCAGCAUUUAGAGCAACACUGGAGGAGAUAUCAGAAUCAUCAAUUAUUGUUCAUCUUGUAGAUAUCAGCCAUGCAUUAGCUCAACAACAGAUAGGUGCUGUUGACAAAGUACUGAAAGAGCUGGAUAUAGACUCGGUUCCGAAGUUGGUUGUGUGGAAUAAGAUUGACAAUGCCAAUAACCCAUUGAGAGUGAAGGAGGAAGCCGAGAAACAAGGGAUAAUCUGCAUAUCCGCCAUGAAUGGUGAUGGUUUGGAAGAGUUCUGCAAUGCAAUCCAAGCAAAGUUGAAAGACUCAAUGGUGCCCAUAGAAGCUUUUGUUCCGUAUGACAAAGGAGAUCUGCUAAAUGACAUACAUAAGGUUGGAAUGGUUGAGAAAACGGAGUACAUGGAAAAUGGCACGUUGAUAAAAGCACAUGUGCCUCUACCUCUUGCAAGGCUUCUCACGCCGUUGCGGCAGCAGGUGGCUGCUCCUCUAUGAUCAUCCCUUUUCCAGCUCGAGUCCAUCAUCGGCCGUCGUAUAGUUUUUGUUGGCGGGCGAUGUACAAAGUUUAGAAGGAGAGACUAUGAGGUUUUAUUCCGAGCUACGGCGUUGAUCCGUAUGUGGUCCUUACUCACUCCGACGGAGGCCAGGGAGCGUUUGGUUACUGGAUCUGUCCGGUGGGAGAUGGUAGUGCGGGAUAUCUUCAACCGGUUUGGAUGGCGGUCAGGUAAUAGGAUAGGCGAUUAGUUUUCCUAUCUUUAUUUUGCCAGCCGGUUGUGGCUUUAUGGCCUUUUUUGGCAUUGAGGCUCUCUGUGAGCUAGCCUUUAUUUUGUUUCAUGACUUUAAGACCGUGUUUAACCUUUUCUAUU